rnacentral:rRNA from 1 species
GGUGGUGGGGAGUAGCCGGCUACGCCCGGGUAAUACCGCAUACGGUUGCCGAGGGGAGUCCCUUGGCAAAGAAACCUCCGGGGCACAGAGAGGGGCUCGCGGCCUAUCAGCUAGUUGGUGAGGUAAUGGCUCACCAAGGCGACGACGGGUAGCUGGUCUGAGAGGAUGGCCAGCCACAUUGGGACUGAGACACGGCCCAG